UACGGAGGGUGCAAGCGUUAUCCGGAUUUACUGGGUUUAAAGGGUGCGCAGGCGGAUAUGUAAGUCAGUGGUGAAAUCUCUAGGCUUAACCUGGGAAUUGCCGUUGAUACUAUAUAUCUUGAAUGCUGUGAAGGUAAGCAGAAUAUGUCAUGUAGCGGUGAAAUGCUUAGAUAUGACAUAGAAUACCUAUUGCGAAGGCAGCUUACUACGCAGAUAUUGACGCUCAUGCACGAAAGCGUGGGGAUCAAACAGG
rnacentral:rRNA from 1 species